AACGAACGCUGGCGGCAGGCUUAACACAUGCAAGUCGAACGCCCCGCAAGGGGAGUGGCAGACGGGUGAGUAACGCGUGGGAACAUACCCUUUUCUACGGAAUAGCUCUGGGAAACUGGAAUUAAUACCGUAUACGCCCUACGGGGGAAAGAUUUAUCGGGGAAGGAUUGGCCCGCGUUGGAUUAGCUAGUUGGUGGGGUAAAGGCCUACCAAGGCGACGAUCCAUAGCUGGUCUGAGAGGAUGAUCAGCCACAUUGGGACUGAGACACGGCCCAAACUCCUACGGGAGGCAGCAGUGGGGAAUAUUGGUCAAUGGGCGCAAGCCUGAUCCAGCCAUGCCGCGUGAGUGAUGAAGGCCUUAGGGUUGUAAAGCUCUUUCACCGAUGAAGAUAAUGACGGUAGUCGGAGAAGAAGCCCCGGCUAACUUCGUG
rnacentral:rRNA from 1 species